rnacentral:rRNA from 1 species
GAUGAACGCUGGCGGCGUGCCUAAUACAUGCAAGUCGAACGCACAGCGAAAGGUGCUUGCACCUUUCAAGUGAGUGGCGAACGGGUGAGUAACACGUGGACAACCUGCCUCAAGGCUGGGGAUAACAUUUGGAAACAGAUGCUAAUACCGAAUAAAACUCAGUGUCGCAUGACACAAAGUUAAAAGGCGCUUUGGCGUCACCUAGAGAUGGAUCCGCGGUGCAUUAGUUAGUUGGUGGGGUAAAGGCCUACCAAGACAAUGAUGCAUAGCCGGGUUGAGAGACGGAUCGGCACCAGUGGGACUGAGACACGGCCCGAACUCCGACGGGAGGCUGCAGUAGGGAAUCUUCCACAAUGGGCGAAAGCCUGAUGGAGCAACGCCGCGUGUGUGAUGAAGGGUUUCGGGUCGUAAAGCACUGUUGUAUGGGAAGAACAGCUAGAAUAGGGAAUGAUUUUAGUUUGACGGUACCAUUCCAGAAAGGGACGGCUAAAUACGUGCCAGCCGCCGCGGUAA